GCGCCCGUAGCUCAGUUGGAAGAGCACCAGGCCGCGGACCUGGGUUUUGCGUGGGUUCGAGUCCUGCCGGGCGUACCA
rnacentral:tRNA from 1 species